CCUACGGGAGGCAGCAGUGGGGAAUAUUGCGCAAUGGGGGCAACCCUGACGCAGCAACGCCGCGUGAUUGAAGAAGGCCUUCGGGUUGUAAAGAUCUUUAAUCAGGGACGAAAAAUGACGGUACCUGAAGAAUAAGCUCCGGCUAACUACGUGCCAGCAGCCGCGGUAAUACGUAGGGAGCAAGCGUUAUCCGGAUUUACUGGGUGUAAAGGGCGUGUAGGCGGGCUUGUAAGUCAGAAGUGAAAUCUGGGGGCUUAACCCCCAAACUGCUUUUGAAACUGCGGGUCUUGAGUGAUGGAGAGGCAGGCGGAAUUCCCAGUGUAGCGGUGAAAUGCGUAGAUAUUGGGAGGAACACCAGUGGCGAAGGCAGCUUACCAAGCUACUUCUGACGUUGAGGCACGAAAGCGUGGGGAGCAAACAGGAUUAGAUACCCUUGUAGUC
rnacentral:rRNA from 1 species